rnacentral:rRNA from 1 species
CUUAAAGGAAUUGACGGGACCCGCACAAGCGGUGGAUGAUGUGGAUUAAUUCGAUGCAACGCGAAAAACCUUACCUACCCUUGACAUGUCUGGAAUGCCGAAGAGAUUUGGCAGUGCUCGCAAGAGAACCGGAACACAGGUGCUGCAUGGCUGUCGUCAGCUCGUGUCGUGAGAUGUUGGGUUAAGUCCCGCAACGAGCGCAACCCUUGUCAUUAGUUGCUACGCAAGAGCACUCUAAUGAGACUGCCGGUGACAAACCGGAGGAAGGUGGGGAUGACGUCAAGUCCUCAUGGCCCUUACGUCCUGGGCCACACACGUGCUACAAUGGCAGGCACAAUGGGCAGCCACGCCGCAAGGCGGAGCGAAUCCACAAAACCUGUCUCAGUUCGGAUCGGGGUCUGCAACUCGACCCCGUGAAGCCGGAAUCGCUAGUAAUCGGAUAUCAGCCAUGAUCCGGUGAAUACGUUCCCGGGCCUUGUACACACCGCCCGUCAAGCCAU